rnacentral:lncRNA from 10 species
GGGAAUACCAGGGGUGGGCACUGUCAAGAGACCCAGCUUUGACUUCAAAUGCCACCCAGAGGGACAACUGCUCACUUUCAGAGCAGGAGCAGGAGGCCAGAGGAGAGUGUGAGUCUAACAUCUGCACAGUGAGAAGUCCAGGAGAAGCAAAAAUGAGAUCCAGGCUGGAGCGGCUGUGCCAGAGGGUCCCUAUGAUCCAGACCUCAAGAGAGGGUUCCUGGACCUCCCACAGAAAGGGAUUCAAGACCAGCUGAAACUGAUUAGAGCCAAGAUAGCCAACCAAAUGACUUCAGGAAGACCUCAGGCUUCAUUAUCAUCUCAUUUCCAUGCUAAAAAAACCCAGCUCCCUAGAACAAUGGGAAAUAUUGGGCACUUCAUCAGGCGAGUUCAGGUGCAUUUCUAGAGAUUGUCCAGGUGCUGGUAACAAUAAUAGAGAACCAUCCAUAUCCACAAGAGGCAGAACCUCUUCCAGCAAAAUGGUGCUGCCUCACCCAAAGGUCACACUGGCAUUAGCCCCUCAUCCUCUGGAGUUCAUCUCAUCCAGGCGAAGACAGCUGGCUGGCCUCAGAGGGUGAGACGCAACUCGAGGGUAAAAACAUUUUUACAGGGCAUGGACACAAAAGUGGCCUUUACCUCUGGAUAAGCUUUUAAAACUUCCCAUUUACAUGUAAAGGUGUACUUUCUAUGUGCCACCAAGAAACCUAAAGUGAGUAAAAGGUGUUUCACUUUAAUCAAGUUCCCCAAUGAGGGGGCACAGCUCUGAAAAGCACUGUCACAACAGGAGAUUCGAGGGUGCAUGCAAAGCAAUGUUUCUAGAAAAUGCCAAAGGAAACAGACACAACUCCAGUGUGGACUCCCGCUUCCCUGCACUGCUGCUCCAUCCUCAGGGCGGAGGCCACAUCGUCCAGCUAGCUGUGAGAACCUCAUCAUGCUCCUUGAUUGUGUGCAGCAGGUGUCUGCUGAAGUCCUCCACACUCUGCCUGGCCAGAUUCUCUUCUUGCAGGAUUCCUUUGACUAAACUGUCACCUUGUCAAAGAGGUCUGAUGCCGACUAAAAGUUCUCUGUUACUGGGCGUGCAGAGAGAAGCCUAUUGUGGCUGUAAGGAUGGGUGAAGGAGAAGGGCACAAAGUGGACAGCAGAAGCAGGAGCUGUCACACAGGCCUGGCCCAUCAUGGUGGAGAGUUUGGAUUUCAUUCUAAGCCAAAUGGUCUCAUCCGCUGAGCAGUGCCUCCUCCCGAUUCAGCACGUCCCUGGUGCCGACUUUCUGCACGUGUUCACUUUGAGGCUGCAUUGUGGGCCUGCAAGAAAUGCAAAGCUGGUUGAGGCUUUAUUCAAUUCAAAUUCAAGCUGUUAAAUCGAGGCUCUCAGACUCCUGCUGCCUGGCCAGUGGAGAAAUUAACUUUCACAUAUGGCUUUGGGAUUUCUCUCUGUCAUCCUGGUCGACGUGUUCUCUCAUUUUUCUGAAGUCUGGGACCUCAACACAGACAUCUGGGUGAAGGCCUUGACAGCAGCGCUGGUGCAAAAUGAAUUGUCACAUCACACCCAACGUUCUCAACCUUUAGAAUCUGAAAGUAAGAAAAACACCUCAAACAAAACAUUAAAGAUUGAAUAAUUGAAGGCACUAUGCUUGGUGCUGAAGAAGGUCUAAGGAGGUCUACACCACAGAGGCUGCACCCACUCCUCAGCCUUGCUGAGCCACACCAUUCUCAUCUCUACAGCAUCCACCUCUCUUGGCUCUUGUAAGGAUUGAGACAUGCCACCAGGCUUACUAUUGAUUCUGAGUAAUCAGCACAGAUUUCUAAAAGAAACUUUAUGGGAUGCUGAGACAUGAAUAAAAACAACUUUAUUCCUUUGGAAAGGACAACCCACAUGCUAAGAAGAUGACACUACACGUUGUUAUAGCCCGAAAGGCCCUCUUUCCACAGGGGAGCAGUGAAAAGUAGAGGUUGCCCAUGUGGAUUCCCAAGUCAGAUAGAUGUGGAUUCAGAUCCCAGCUCUGCUGCUUGCUACCCAAGAGACCAUGGACUGUGGACUCUUUAGGUCUCAGGGUUUUUGUUUGUUGUCUGUUUUUCACUUCCAAAACCAGAAAAUGAGAAGAUAUUUUCCAUAAGAUGGCGGUGGAGAAGAGAACUUGAUGGACCUUGCUUGGACAAAAUGCCUUCACCGCUAACUCAGUCAGCUAUGGCGAUGGGUCAAGGACCUGGUGGUUUUACAGAGAAGACCCUUGGUCAAAUCUUUGUGAAUGAAGCAACCAUUCUGAUGUUCAAUAACAGGAAUGCACCAGUUUAUACCAAACUAUCUGUACUAUUGAGAACAGCAAAAAUAUCUGACCAAAAACACCAAAGAGUGACAUUUUAAAAGACAUCAAAGAACUCUCAAGGCUUCCAGAGUUGGAAAGAUCAAGAAAGAGAGAAUGCAACUUCAUUAAGUGACUCAACUCCAAAUAGGAGCAUUUCAAGAGUAUGUAUUUCAACAAAGAAGUAUUAGAAGAUGACAGUGUCCUUGCAGUAUCUUUUAGGGGCUAUCAGAACAUGAUUUCUGCUAUAUUCUAUCAUCGGAGCCUUAAUAAUGUUAACUAUAAUUCAAGGGAAGAUCAAAUAAACUUCACCUUUCAAGGAAAGGAGUAACA